AUUGAUGCUUCGUUCCGCCCGAACUAUUUUUAUCGGCCGCCGGAGGCCGCCAUCUCCGCGGCGCGGGUAGCGCAGGAGGACCCGGCAAUAACCGAAGCCCCACUACCAUCCCCGCCCUCCGCUGACUCUCACUUUCCGCGUCGGCCAUGACUUCGACCUCCACAGGCUCGAGGUGGGUCUCCCACUGAUCAUCGGGGGCAUCGACAUCCACCACGGCCGCGGCUGCGAACGGUGAAAGCUAGAGGAGAUGUGUUGCUUCACCGUGUGGUGGAUGCGAUUGUGGGGGCCUUGGGGCUUCCCGACAUCGGCCAGAUCAUUCGCGAUAUUGAUCCCAGGUGGAAGGGCUUCGCGUCCUCCGUCUUCUUGAAAGAGGCUAUUUCUGAUUUGAGCAUCAGAGGAUUUCCGUCGGAGCCAAUUCCGAUCAGAGACUUGUUUCAUAGGUCCGGUCACCGUCAUCUCUACCGGACGCCACUACACUGCAGCAACUCCGACCCGAGCCCGGAAUUUGCCGCAACAGAUACUAAAAACUAUAUAGAAGGAAUAGAAUAUAAGUGAUGCACAACCAAUUGAUAUACAUUUUAUAUUCUAAAUUCUUUGAAUGAAACAUGUAUAAUUAAUAAUGUUUUAGAUAUCAUCGUCUAGAUAAUUUGUAGCACUCUUAACAUUAUUCAGUUUGUACUUGCCACCAAUAUCAUCAUGACCCAAGCCUUUACUCAUCAAAUAUGGGGUUGUUAUAGAGCAUGACUUCAAGAUUAGAAGGCUUAGGUUGCAUUUGGCAUUAUUGUCGCUUUCUUUUUUUUUUUUAAAAUGGAAACAUGAAUGCUAUUUUCUUUUCAGAUUUUUGACAACACAAAAUAUGUUUGGUUCACCUCUUUUUUUUUUUAUUUAUAACAACAAGGGCUGGCGAAGUGGUCGACAAUGAUGGAGAGGGAGAGGGUAUAGGACUGGCAACAUUGUUGGGGACGAGUAAGAGCUCGAUAUAGGGUGGAAAGACAACUGAGAGAGUGGCAAAGGGAGGAGUAGGAAUGGGAUGAGAGAUAGCUUGGUGUUGGGCGGAGAGAUGGCUGGCGAGGCUCUGGAGCCGAUGAGGUCAUGUGGGGCAACGGGGCUGAGGGCAAAGUCGGAUGGAAGAAGAGGGAUCAGGAGGCUAAGGGUAAAAACCCUUUUUUUUUAAAAAAAAAGUGGAAAUGAAAAUUUCCACUUCCACUUUUUCUAAAAAUAAUGAAAGUUUCUUUUUAGAAAAAUAAAAACAACAAAAACGGGGUAACCAAACAUAAUUUUUCUGCAUUCGAUUCUGUGUUUCUGUUUCAUAAAUGAUGAGACAAAAAAAAAGUACCAAACAGGACCUUAAUAGAUUUGUGCAGAUUUUACAACCAGUUGUCACCCUAAUGUCAACCAUCUAGAAGUGGGGAAGGGGAGGGGACAGCUAUUCAGCUAGUCCAUGUAUUCCAUCCAAUCAGUCUGGAAAAGGCAUUGCUUCAAAUCAUUGUAACUUUCUUUUUUUGGAAGGAAAAGGAGGCUCGAAAAGCCACCCAUUUAUUAAAAGAAAUGAAUACAAGUACCAGUCAACCCAUAUGUACAAAAGGAGGAAGGGGACAAUACUUCCUGAAGCUUUGGCUGUAUCUUUCAAAGAGACAAGUGCAGCUGCUACUUCAAGAAUUUAACAAAAAGGAUUGACGUAGUCUACAUGCAAUACAGAAACAUCUAAAGAAGAGGGGAUAGAAAAAAGGAUAGGGAACAAACACAUGGACAAAGUAAAAGAAGGAUUUACAGCAAGCCUCCUUUUUACAGAGACAUUAGCCAAAAAACCAAAUGGCAUGAAUCUUCAGCAAUGGAUUGCAGACUUCCUUGAAAUUUGAAAGGAUAUGAACUUGGAAUUAGACUAAUGCAUGAGGCAGGCUAUGAACUUGGAAAGUUUGAUGCCAUAUUGAUCCUACAAAGGCCAAAACUCAGUCCACACAAGGAGGCCAUUAGAGCAACCUUCUGCGAUCUUCUUGGAGCAGACCCAUCUAUUGUAAAUCUUAAAGCAGAAUCUCAUGAGAAGGUUGACAGCGUUGGAGAAACUAGAAGCACUGCAGUUCACACUGUGGUUCUUCUGAUGACGAGGUAGCAGCGGACCUCUCUUUUAAUGAGAGAGAUCUUUAAUUCAUUUGUUGCUGUUGUAUGCUAAUUGUUGGAUACUGUAUAGUUGUCCAUACAGCAAGCAUCAUAGGAGAUGCAACUCAAGCUUGCUCCUUCAAUCUAUAACCAUUCAGUCUAUAUCUACUGAAACUCUGUACUAUCACUGCAUUAAUGAGAAUUCCCGAAUUAGAUUUGCUCGCUU